GGUGGGAACACAGACACACCCUGGUGUAACGGGAGCCUGGAGAUGCAAGGGAUGGAAGAUUUAGUAAUGGCAAAAUGAGCAAGAGAAUGCUGGCUACUAUAUAAACAGUUCUAGAAGAACAAGAAUUGAAACAGGAAGUCCAGUUAGAAUGCUAUUUCAGCAACUGAGGCCAUUACUGGGCAUAUACAUGGAGAAAACCAUAAUUCGAAAAGAUACAUGCAUGCCAAUGUUCAUUGCAGUACUAUUAGCCAAGACAUGGAAGCAACCUAAAUGUUCAUCAACAGAG